AUUGAACGCUGGCGGAAUGCUUUACACAUGCAAGUCGAGCGGCAGCGCGGGGCAACCUGGCGGCGAGCGGCGCACGGGUGAGUAACACAUCGGAACGUACCCAGUUGUGGGGGAUAGCCCGGCGAAAGCCGGAUUAAUACCGCAUACGACCUGAGGGUGAAAGCGGGGGACCGAAAGGCCUCGCGCAAUUGGAGCGGCCGAUGGCGGAUUAGCGUGUUGGCGGGGUAAAGGCCCACCAAGGCGACGAUCCGUAGCUGGUCUGAGAGGACGACCAGCCACACUGGAACUGAGACACGGUCCAGACUCCUACGGGAGGCAGCAGUGGGGAAUUUUGGACAAUGGGCGCAAGCCUGAUCCAGCCAUUCCGCGUGAGUGAAGAAGGCCUUCGGGUUGUAAAGCUCUUUCGGCAGGAACGAAACGGUCAUCUCUAACAUAGAUGGCUAAUGACGGUACCUGAAGAAGAAGCACCGGCUAACUACGUGCCAGCAGCCGCAGUAAGAC
rnacentral:rRNA from 1 species